CGCCUCUUGCCCAAAUAUAAGAGGUCCAGCCUGCCCAGUGACUCUGUUCAACGGCCGCGGUAUCCUAACCGUGCGAAGGUAGCGUAAUCACUUGUUCUUUAAAUGAGGACUGGUAUGAAUGGCACCACGAAGGUUAUACUGUCUCCUCUUUUUAAUCAGUGAAACUAAUCUCCCCGUGAAGAAGCGGGGAUAAACAUAUAAGACGAGAAGACCCUAUGGAGCUUUAAACUAUGUAACACUUGCACCAACCCCAUGCAAAUUUCAGAAGAAUCCUUUUUACCUAUGCAAGAUUAUUACCAGUUUUAGGUUGGGGUGACCACGGAGCAAAAAACAACCUCCACAUUGAAAGGAGCCUACUCCUUAGCCAAGAACCACAUCUCCACGCAUCAUUACAAUGACAUUAAUUGACCCAAUAUAUUGAUCAACGAACCAAGUUACCCUAGGGAUAACAGCGCAAUCCACUUCAAGAGCUCCUAUCGACAAGUGGGUUUACGACCUCGAUGUUGGAUCAGGGUAUCCCAGUGGUGCAGCCGCUACUAAAGGUUCGUUUGUUCAACGAUUAAA
rnacentral:rRNA from 1 species